AACUUUUGGCAACGGAUCUCUUGGCUCUCGCAUCGAUGAAGAACGCAGCGAAGUGCGAUACGUAAUGUGAAUUGCAGAAUUCAGUGAAUCAUCGAAUCUUUGAACGCACCUUGCGCCCCUUGGAAUUCCGAGGGGCACACCCGUUUGAGUGUCGUGAACAUCCUUCAACCUUUCUUGGUUUCUUAACCGGGGAAGGCUUGGACUUUGGGGGUCUUUCAUUGCUGGCCUCUUUGAAGCCAGCUCCUCCUAAAUAGAUUAGUGUGGUCUGCUUUGCCGAUCCUUGACGUGAUAAGAUGUUUCUACGUCUUGGGUUUCGCACUGUCGCUUUAGACCCCGCUUCUAACCGUCUUGCGUUCAAGACAGAGUUUUAAACCUUGACCUCAAAUCGGGUGAGACUACCCGCUGAACUUAAGCAUAUCAAUAAGCGGAGGCU
rnacentral:misc_RNA from 1 species